rnacentral:rRNA from 1 species
GAUGAACGCUGGCGGCGUGCCUAAUACAUGCAAGUCGAGCGAACGGACGAGAAGCUUGCUUCUCUGAUGUUAGCGGCGGACGGGUGAGUAACACGUGGAUAACCUACCUAUAAGACUGGGAUAACUUCGGGAAACCGGAGCUAAUACCGGAUGAUAUUUUGAACCGCAUGGUUCAAAAGUGAAAGACGGUCUUGCUGUCACUUAUAGAUGGAUCCGCGCUGCAUUAGCUAGUUGGUAAGGUAAUGGCUUACCAAGGCAACGAUGCAUAGCCGACCUGAGAGGGGGAGCGCCCACAACGGAACUAGGACACGGGCCAGACCCCUAGGGGAGGCAGAAGAGGGGAAUCUUCCGAAAGGGGGGAAAGCCUGAGGGAGAAAGGCGGGGGGAGGGAGGAAGGUUUUCGGAGGGUAAAACCCUGUUAUGAGGGAAAAAAAAAUGUGAAAGGAACGGGGGACACUUUGAGGGUACCUAAUCAGAAAGCCACGGCAAACUACGG